rnacentral:rRNA from 1 species
UAAGGAAUAUUGGUCAAUGGGGGCAACCCUGAACCAGCCAUGCCGCGUGCAGGAAGACGGCCCUACGGGUUGUAAACUGCUUUUAUACGGGAAUAAACCUCUUUACGUGUAAAGAGUUGAAUGUACUGUAAGAAUAAGGAUCGGCUAACUCCGUGCCAGCAGCCGCGGUAAUACGGAGGAUCCAAGCGUUAUCCGGAUUUAUUGGGUUUAAAGGGUGCGUAGGCGGCCUAUUAAGUCAGGGGUGAAAGACGGUGGCUCAACCAUCGCAGUGCCCUUGAUACUGAUAGGCUUGAUUACACUUGAGGUAGGCGGAAUGUGACAAGUAGCGGUGAAAUGCAUAGAUAUGUCACAGAACACCAAUUGCGAAGGCAGCUUACUAAGGUGUCAAUGACGCUGAGGCACGAAAGCGUGGGGAUCAAACAGG